rnacentral:misc_RNA from 1 species
AAAUUUUCUAGUAAUUAUAAGCAAGAUCAUAUAAACAGAUCUCGACACUUGCUAGAGAAAACUGUCCGAAAAUUGAGUCGUGAGAAAUCAACAUGGAAGACAAUGAAGUUCUAGUUCUUUAGAGAUAGAAAUGAACAGAGUGUCUCUGCUCGGUGUUUCGAUCUCAACACUCAUAUACAAAAAGAAGCACCGAAGCGACUCAAUUUUCAGAUGGUUUUCCCUAGCAAGCGUCGAGAAUCGAGCAUGUUAUGUGAGGUCUGUCUAAUGGUGAGGCCCAGAUACUUCACCUGGAUUCUCAUCUCGACUUCCGCCUCCUCCAACUGUAGGUUAUACCUGGC